rnacentral:rRNA from 1 species
UACAGAGGGUGCAAGCGUUGUUCGGAAUUAUUGGGCGUAAAGGGCGCGUAGGCGGUGCGGUAAGUCUGCGGUGAAAUCUCCCGGCUCAACUGGGAGUCUGCCGUGGAAACUGCCGUGCUUGAGUGUGGGAGAGGUGAGUGGAAUUCCCGGUGUAGCGGUGAAAUGCGUAGAUAUCAGGAGGAACACCAAUAGCGAAGGCAGCUCGCUGGGACGUUACUGACACUGAGGCGCGAAAGCGUGGGGAGCGAACAGG